CAUGGAGUCCUGUGUGAAUCAGCAAGGACCACCUUGCAAGGCUAAAUACUCCUGAGUGACCGAUAGCGAAGUAGUACCGUGAGGGAAGGGUGAAAAGAACCCCAAUCGGAGAGUGAAAUAGAACAUGAAACCAUAAGCUC
rnacentral:ncRNA from 1 species